GCGGCUCUGCUUCUCGCCGUUCGUAACUGCGGUUCCACUUUGCCUUGUGCUGCAGCUUCGCUUCUAAGGGCCGAUGACGCUGCUGCCCUCAGCGGGAUCGGGAGCACGGAGGGAGUCAGAAGUAACGCAAGCGUUGCUCGCUUGUCUUAACGUCGUGCCCGUUGCUUUGUUUCACCCGGCUGCGUGCCGGUAUCUGUGGGAUCCAUCAGAUACAGCCCGUAAUUGAGUCCCUCAAAUGCUGGGAAAGGGAUACACGAGCCCAGUGACCAGCUGUGUGUUGUACCCAGCCUGACUUCCGCACUGCCCCUGGGCUGCAUCAGAAAGGGGUCAGCAGGGCAAGGCGAGUCACUGUCCCCCUCUGCUCUGCCCCUGUAAGGCCCCAUCUGGAGUAUUGCAUCUGAGCCUGGGGCCCCCCUGUACAGGGUGCGGAGGAAGCCGCAGAGAUGCUCAUACAGCAGGAGCACCUGUCUUGUGAAGACAAGCCGAGGGAGAUGGGCCUGUUCAGCCUGCACUAUAGAAGGUUCCAGGAAGACCACGUUGUGGCCUUCCAGUACUUAAAGGGAGCUUAAAAAUGGAAGAGAGACUGACUUUUUACACAGGCAGAUAGUAAUAGGUGGAAUGGUUUUAAAAUAAAAGAGAGAUGUAAAU
ensembl:lncRNA